rnacentral:rRNA from 1 species
CCUACGGGAGGCAGCAGUGGGGAAUUUUGGACAAUGGGCGCAAGCCUGAUCCAGCAAUGCCGCGUGCAGGAUGAAGGCCUUCGGGUUGUAAACUGCUUUUGUACGGAACGAAACGGCCCUUUCUAAUACAAGGGGCUAAUGACGGUACCGUAAGAAUAAGCACCGGCUAACUACGUGCCAGCAGCCGCGGUAAUACGUAGGGUGCGAGCGUUAAUCGGAAUUACUGGGCGUAAAGCGUGCGCAGGCGGUUAUAUAAGACAGAUGUGAAAUCCCCGGGCUCAACCUGGGACCUGCAUUUGUGACUGUAUAGCUAGAGUACGGUAGAGGGGGAUGGAAUUCCGCGUGUAGCAGUGAAAUGCGUAGAUAUGCGGAGGAACACCGAUGGCGAAGGCAAUCCCCUGGACCUGUACUGACGCUCAUGCACGAAAGCGUGGGGAGCAAACAGGAUUAGAUACCCUGGUAGUCCACGCCCUAAACGAUGUCAACUGGUUGUUGGGUCUUCACUGACUCAGUAACGAAGCUAACGCGUGAAGUUGACCGCCUGGGGGAGGUACGGUCCGGCGAGGUUAGUUAAACGUUAAAGUUAAGUUAGUAGGACGGNGNGAGACGCGACGGACGGACGACGACGGAGGGAGGAGG